CUGGAGGCAGGCACUGGAGAGCCAGGGUGGUUCAGCCGCAGCUCCUCUGAGCAGGGAGUCAAACAGGGCUGAAACAGACACCAGCUCUCCAGGACCAGCUGGUAAGAGCUUCUCCACUGCCCCCGAGCCCUGACAGGAGGACUCCCACAGUGUGCAUGGAAGCCCAGGGAGCUCGGGGGCUACAGAGGCACCAUUGGCUCUGGAGCCUGCAGCCCAGACAGCCCCCUCCAGAUGUAAUGGGGGAAGGAGCCAGGGACUGGGAGGAAUUCAGAGGUCAGAGGAGGAGCAGUAUCAGGAGAUACUGCCCUCCUGCAACUCCUCCUCCCAGCUGCUCUCCCCUCCUGCUAGUGCCCACAAUGGCUCCCAGCUGCCUCCUAUAAGGAAGCUUUAUUAGCCUGCAGCCUGUACUCCUCCACGCAGCAGAGCUGACAGGACCCCAUUAGUCAGCUUAUUCAACCCUUCCCCUGGUGCACAAACCCUUGCCAAGCUUUUCUGGCAUUUUGCUCAGCCUGCUUGGACCCUCCAAGCAGGUAGGAACUCACUGUUUCACAAAGCAGUGUUAUUAGAAAGGUUUCCCUGACCCUAGCCCCCCACAUCUAAUCUUUCUCAAAUGUGGGCAGACUUGUUCCUGGCCCCUUCUCAUUCCACCAGUGCACACAUGCACAUGCUCCCUCUCUCCAUCCAAGCUCCAGGAAUCAACCUCUACCCUGAACCAGGUCCCUGAGGACCACCACGUGGCUGCAACACAGCAGGUGUGGGGCAGGGCACAAGUGGGCUUAAGGGGGGUAUAAGGGCUGGCAGUUUGCUCAUUGAUUCACUCAACAAACAUGUACUGAGCACCUCUAAAGGGCCAGGGCCUGUGCUAGGCACUGCGGUGCCAUGGUGAGCAAAUCCAGAAAUGGACCCUGCCCUCUAGGAGUUCACAGUCCAGAGGAGAAGCCCGAUGCUGAACAGAGAAUCACAUCCGUGAGCAACACAAAAGGCAAGGCAAACCCUGGGCAGAUGCCCCCGGGACUGUGUGUUAUGGGCCUACAGGAAGCCUCUCCCAAUGAAAAAGCAAUUUUUCAGCCAGAACCUCCACCAGUGUCUUUCAAACUGAGCCUGGACCUGUGGCCUUCCCUGCCUCCACCUGGGCCUCAACCGUCACGACCACCUGGCCUUUGAGAAAUCAAAUGGCUCACGCUGUGUCUCAGAGCUGCAACGAUCCAACGCCCUCCAUCCUUCAGAGGCUGUCUGAGUCCGGGGACACAACUCCCACCCUCCUCUCCUGCCAGCCGCGGCCCGUGGCUGCUCUCUUCACUUCGUCCCGCUUCGCCCCGACUGUGGAUCUACCCGCUCCCUUCUCCCUCAGUCCCCAAAGCACCAGACUCACAGGCCUGCUGUGUGACCCACUUUUACCGACCUUUCGGGGAGAGUAGAGGGCAUUUGUGACUCAGCUCAGAGCAGGAAACACAUCUCACGUCAACUGUCAGACAGCGCUGCUCCGAAUCCCAUCACAGUGCUCCAGCAGGGGGCGUCCUCACCGGCCGCGGCCACAGCCACGGCUCAACCCGGCCUAGCUCCCAGACACCCUCCUUCCACCGCCUGUUUUCCACCGUCCCCGCCUGCUCUUUCAAGCCAGCAGCAAACAACACCCUAAUCCGUGUCUUUAUUAUUCAAAGACCUUAAGCACUCUUUCCCACCUCGUUCCCAUCUUGAUUAUUUCAGGGAAUGAAUUAGGGAUUCACCUUUACAAUCAAAAAAGUUCUCUCAAAGCCAGGCUACUGGAGUUCUAAUUCUGCCUUCCCACUUUUACUAGCUGUGAAAUCUCAGGAAAGUUACUUAACCUCUCUCUGUCUCAUUUUCCUCAUCUUUAAAAAACAGGAUGAUAAUAUUUAGCUCCUAAGAUGGUUGUGAGGAUUUAAGUGAGCUGAUAUAUCCAAGAAUGUCUAGAACAGCGCGUGGCAGAAUGGGCAUUGCAUAUGGGUUUAAUCUUGUAACUGCCAUGUUUCACCAAUUCUAAGGUGUAUCUCGUUUCUCAUCAUAAGAGCUCUUCCGCUCGUGUGGCAGCUGGGAGUGGCCGUCAUUGCCUGCGCAUACCUAAACUUGGUCAGGGCAGAAUGAUUGCUAGUCACACGUGAAGCAAGAAAACCCCGGCAAUAAAGCUUGCAGAAUGAGUGGCUGAGGCUUGAAAAUAAAUGGUGGAAACAAUAGUGGACAAUCUUUUAAAGAAUGGCACAUUGCCAAUGCUCCUGAUGGCACAGAAGGUGACACCAUGCAGAAAAUCAAGGCUCUGAGUCAAAGAGGGUUUCAGAAAAAUUGGACUCUGAAUGUGAAGAAAUCUGGGGACUAUUUUAGCCAAUUUGUUUUGCCUAUAAUUUCCUUUUAUGCAUGCAAAAGAGCAAUUCUGACUUUAAAGACUGAUAUCUAAAUAAAUCUAAAAUAUCUUUUUUGUGUGUGUGUCUGUGAUACAGUGUCUCGCCCUUUCACCCAGGCUGGAGUGCAGUAGUGCAAUCUCAGCUCACU
rnacentral:lncRNA from 10 species